rnacentral:lncRNA from 1 species
ACACGUUGAUCCUGUGUGACAGAUAUGUUAUAGAGGGAAGAUUGCGGUACUGCUUAUAACGAAUUUGUUUGAACACGUCCAUUGAAAAGAUAGACGGUGCACAUUAUAUUACAUCUAGUUAUGCAAGAUAACUCUGUGUGACUGACAUGCUGAAGUCGGAAAAUCGGACGAGUGUGUUUGAGUACAUUGUUUACCAUAUGUCCCUCUGAACGAUUCACACAAUGCUAUAAAGUUAACUAGUAAUUGACAAAGAACUAUGGAAGAGUUUCCUAUUUGCAAAGGGCAAUUGGAAGAUGGACAAGCAGUUGUAUGUCUCCGUAAGAAGGGGAGCGACGGACUCAAUAAUGCCAGCAUAGCAAGAGGAACUAACAUAUUUACAUGUAUAGGACAAUAUGUACAGGUGCAGUGUCGCCGUGACUAUAUACAGAUUCGAAACUCUUUGACAAACAGUGAUAUAAAUAAUAAUCAUGUUACAUCUAGGUCUUUACGUUCGGAAGAUUCAUUUGAUUUUAAAACAAAAUGUCUUUUUUGUACAAAAAAUGCUAAAGUAAGUGCAAACAAACGUGGGUAUGAUGUUUUUCCUGUUGGUAAUUUCGAAUUUCAGAAAACUGUACACAAAUUAUGUAAUGAAUGAAAAGACGAGUGGGCAGUCAACGUAUUAAGCAGACUUUUCCUUGCGAUAGACCUUCCAGCAGCUGACGUGCAAUGUCAACUUCAAGACAGGUACCCCAAAAGUCAAAUCUAGCAGAGUCAAUAUGGAAAUUAGGUGAUUGCGAAAAAAUUACAGAUGAAGCAUGUGAAUUCCAUUAUGUCAUAGACGGGGGAUCUUUACUGCAGAAAAUUCCCUGGCAGAAAAAUAGUUCCUUCGAUGCAAUAUUUGCACAGUAUAGUGACUACUUGCUCCAGAAAUAUACAAAUCCAACAGUUGUAUUUGAUGGAUACUCCAGUGGUCCAAGCACAAAAGAUGUGACACACCUACGACGAACAAAGGGAGUAGUUGGAACACGUGUGAAGUUUUUAAGGACACACCAUUCAAAUCAAACAAAGAGGUAUUUCUAAUUGUGAUUCAAGACGAUGCAGUUGCAGGAAACAUGGACUGCAGUGUUCAGCUGAUUGUGGUGACUGUAGAGGUACAAGCUGCACUAACUCUCCUACAACAGCAGACAUGGACAUAGAAGACUAUGAAUAGGCUUUAUUGUUUUUGAGAAGUAAAAAACAAACGGGGGAAUCAGUAUGAAAUAUUUAUUUAAAGUUUAUCAAAUAGUAUGCUGAAAAUGUUUUCAUCAUCUUCUAAAUAACAUAUAUGCACAAUAUUUGAUGUGUUGUGCACUUUGUAUUUAAUUAAAAUUAUUGCUGAUGGAAUGCAGCUAUGAUUAAAUAAAUAUUUUCAUGAUUGUUAAUGGUACGUUAGCAUUAUUUACCCUUUAGAUGAGAAAAUAUGACAUUUUUUCAUAAGUAUUUUAAGUGGGUGGGGCACAAUAUAGACCCCUUGAUAAAAUUAAAUUGUUUAACAGUAAAGGAACAGCAGUAUCAGCUUACUUUGGACAAUGCCACAGAUAUUGUUUAACAUUUGUUAGAACUGAUGUGCUAAUGUUUUGUAAUGUUAAAUCUUAGAUUAUUUUCAUACAUGUAUUUGUACUUUAUUUAAGUUUAAACAGUAGGCUUAAGUGAAUUUAAAUCUAGUAAAUACUUUCACAUUAGCAAUUCCUUUAAACGUUAAUAGAUGUAGUAUAUAUCAUAUUGACACACUGUGAUAAUGUUCAUAUCCAUUGUACUAUAACUGAUAAGUAUAACAUCUUUUGAAUGAAUGUAAAUCUGUUUUAGACACGAUAAAACAUUAUUCAAAUGAAAAACUCACUACUUUGUACAAAACUAUCUGCAUAAGUUUGUAUGCCAGAUAUGAAAUACAUUUCAUUAAACUGUUUUCCAGUCUUUCAAAGUGAUUCUUGUUUUAAAUAAUUAUAGAUGUCUAAAUAAAAAAAAAAGAAAUUGAUA